rnacentral:rRNA from 1 species
ACGCGAAAGUCCCCUUCGGGGGACGAGUAGAGUGGCGCACGGGUGAGUAACACGUAGGUAAUCUACCUUUGGAUGGGGAAUAACAACCGGAAACGGUUGCUAAUACCGCAUAAUGCAGCGGCACCUAAUGGUGACAGUUGUUAAAGCGGGGGAUCGAAAGACCUCGCGUCUAAAGAGGAGCCUGCGGCAGAUUAGCUAGUUGGUAAGGUAAUGGCUUACCAAGGCGAUGAUCUGUAGCCGGCCUGAGAGGGCGGUCGGCCACACUGACACUGACAUACGGGUCAGACUCCUACGGGAGGCAGCAGUCGGGAAUUUUGGGCAAUGGGCGAAAGCCUGACCCAGCAACGCCGCGUGAAGGAUGAAAUCCUUCGGGAUGUAAACUUCGCAAGAACGGGAAGAAUAAGUAAGAGCUAACAUCUCUUACGAUGACGGUACUGUUUGUAAGCUCCGGCUAACUCCGUGCCAGCAGCCGCGGUAAUACGGGGGGAGCAAGCGUUG